AACCUUACCCUAACUUGCCUCUCUUUGGCGUCUUGGGAGCAAACUAGAUUUUGCUCUGUGUUUCUCUCCUGGCGUCAAGUUGUUGCCGCCAAAGCUGUCCCAAUGGCCGCCAACAAUCCGUCGCAGCUACUGCCAUCAGAGUUGAUCAACCGGUGCAUAGGGUCGAAGAUGUGGGUGAUAAUGAAGGGUGACUAGGAGCUCGUGGGGACUCUGAGGGGUUUCAAUGUUUACGUCAACAUGGUUCUCGAAGACGUCACUGAAUAGUAUGAUUCACUCUCUCAGUUCUUGUUGCAUAAUGUAGCCCGAAACCCUACCAUUUGGGGUUUUUUUUUUCUUUACUCGGUUUCUCAACAAGUGUGAAUCUUUAUUUUGUGAAUGCUUCAACUUUUACAUUUAUGGGAAACUUAUACAAAGAACAAGACAGUUGGAAAUUAAUCAAACAGAAUUGUCUUUCUUUGUAUUUCAGUUAGAAAUUUGAUCAGGGAAAACAGUUUAUUGAAGAAAUCCGAAUCAGUAAUCUCUUAUUAUGAUGUCGAUUCCCUGGGAUCAUCCAGAGGGUGGUAUGUGAGCCUACCGGAGCCAUCCUCGGUGUCAAAAGAUCGUUCAUUGUUGUGAAAUUUAAUACCAGGUUUGAUCCUAUGGUUGCUGACAUCAAUGGUUACCACAUUGGUAUUGAUGUGAACACGGUUGUGUAUGUUGCCUGUGUUGAUGUUGUUUUAAGAGGAAUUGAUUUGAAAAGUGGGAGGGAGAUUGCUGCUUGAUUGAGUGCAGAUAUGCCGUCAAGAUGGUUUGGGUUUUGGUCGGAUACUUGUCAACUAGGCCUCCAACGCCUCUUCUUGUUGCUCAGAUUGACCUCUCCAACCAGUUCAAGGAAUUCAUGCGUGUCGGUUUCAGAAAAUGAACCUCGUGGUUCAUUCUUGUACCAGGAAGAAACAUGGAGGCCGACCCCACGGCGCUCGGAUAGUAUUUGUCCUGCUUCAACUCCAGCUUUUGCCAAUUCUUCCCAAGUUUAUGAUGCAACUGACUUUACAGGGGACUGAAAUGAAAUCAACAAAUGAAAAACUAUUGCAAUGAGAAAUUAUGCAGAUUUUUCUUCGUUCUUCAUAACUCGUGAGAUUGAAUCCAUUGACUAAGAUGGCAAAGCAAAAAA